rnacentral:tRNA from 1 species
GGAGGGAUGGCUGAGCGGCUGAAAGCGCCCGUCUUGAAAAUGGGUUAGGGUCACACCUACGUGGGUUCGAAUCCCACUCCCUCCG